rnacentral:rRNA from 1 species
UACGGGGGGGGCAAGCGUUGUUCGGAAUUACUGGGCGUAAAGGGCUCGUAGGUGGCCAACUAAGUCAGACGUGAAAUCCCUCGGCUUAACCGGGGAACUGCGUCUGAUACUGGAUGGCUUGAGUUUGGGAGAGGGAUGCGGAAUUCCAGGUGUAGCGGUGAAAUGCGUAGAUAUCUGGAGGAACACCGGUGGCGAAGGCGGCAUCCUGGACCGAUACUGACGCUGAGGCACGAAGGUCAGGGGAGCAAACGGG